ensembl:lncRNA
GCCAGGCCCUCAGGACCUGGUCUUGGAACAGAGGAAGAGGCAGCAGCAGCCGAUCCGGCCUCCCGUGGCCCAGAUGGAGCUUCCCCCCAAGACUGGAAAUGGAGGGGGCAAUACUGGCAGACAUGGGCAGCCCAGGAGGUGCCUGCCAGCAAGGGCCCCAGGGAGGCACGCAGAGCAGACAGCGGAGCCCAGGGGUCCUGUCGCGGCUGUACCCCACCCUCACCCCAACCCCAUCCCUUCCCACUGUCCACCACACAGGCAGCUCUGAGGCACAGGGGCCUAGGCCCAAAGGCCCCCACACCGGGGACAUGGUACCCCGGGCACGGCCAGCCUGCAGCUGGCAACUCGCACGUUUGGGCUCUGCUUGGUGACCUUGUGCCUCCAGCACACGGAUGGACCCGGCAAAGCCUGUCACCUCUAGCCAAGCCAGCCCACGGAUCUUCUGGACUCGAUGGGGACAGUUGUGCGAGACACCAGGGCUCAGAGGAUGCUGAAGAAGGCCCCAGGCACGCUGUCGCCAGGGGAAACCCCAUCAGUCUCCUGACCCUACUUCCUUGGGCUCAGACAUCCCCCAUCAAGCCUGGAAACCGCGCAGGCCCAGAAACCGUAGUCCAGAAGUUACCCCCAGGAAACCCACAGCCCCGGAGGCACUCUCUUUCAUAGGUGAGUGGUUCUUCCAUAGGUGAGUGGUUUACUGAGCCCCCCUAGUGGGAACAGCCUCAUGCCAGAGGCUCCCAGGAAAGUCUAAGACCUGGUCCUGUCUCCAGGAAGCUUACCGUCCAGCCCCAGAAAAGAGUGCUCACAAUGGACUUCUGUUCAAGAAUAAGGCAAGACAGGAUGUGACUAAGUGUGAGGUAUGAGUAACCGACAGUAAGUGCAAAGGGGGUUCAGAGACAUGCCAGCUCCAGGUUCACUUCGGAUGAAACUGGGCGGCUUGUUUGUUGAGAACAGAUACCUCAGGAAGUGGAGAAGGCUUGGGUGAACCGUCGGCCUCCAAGUUCUCCCACAGGUGACUGUUCCGUUCUAAGUCACACCUUGCACAGGGGUUCUUCCUGUCUUCCACCAACAAACAUCUAACUUAGUUAUGUUUGAUUGCUGCCGUUGGCUUGGUCCAUCAAGCAUUCAGUCAACAAAGACUUCACUGCGUUCAGCUCCAGGCCUAAACUAAGCUUAGCUAGGUAGAAAGAACCCAGUGAUAAUGCCCUGAGCGUGUCAAGGGGAAAAGGGGGCUAGCCUCCCUGUUUCACAGGGAGGAAAACUGGCCCAAGGCGAGUCAACAGGCGCGCAAAGCACCAAGGCAAGUUUGGCCAAGCUGAACGGAGACUCGGCCCAGCUUCUAAACUCUGCUACCCCCUUGAUGAACUAGAUCGAAACACAGUCUGCGGCUCUUGCCGUGAGCUACGUAAACGUCACUCUGCCAGAGAACAGAACUGAAGGGCCAACUCUCACUCCUGGAGACCUGAUUCCCAAAUCUACCUCUGUCACUAAAUUGCUUUAGUUUUCUUCCUGGGGGGAAAAAAAUGGAAAUAACUGUGUUUAGUCAAAGGGUAUUGUCGGUAUGAAAUUAGGCAGUGGACAGGAACUUGCUGUGUAAGCACCGUGUGCCGUGUAAGUGUGUGUUACAUUUCGCAGGCGGUAUCCUUCUCGAGCCUGUAGAGGUAGUUGGGUCUCCUCCUCAGCUUAUCCCAGGUUACUGGGUGCCCAGAAGCUAACUGUAAUUCUGACUCCUCCCCUCAGGCUGCACUGUGCUUACUCAUGGUCUUUCCCCUUUGGUUUCUUAAUGGCACAACCAGAUGCUUAGCUGGCUGCCUGGAAGCCAUAUCAUCAGUGGGGCAGGAAGCAAGCAAUUCUGGUGCCGUUUGAGCUCAGCCGAGGGGUUCUAGAGCCGUCUGAGCACUACCCAGCUCCUUGCACCUUUGCAGGACCCUGCAAGUUAGUUGUUCAGUAAGAGGAAAUGGGAUGAAGCCAGCGCGGGGAGGGGUUGGCUCCUUGGGACUGUUCUUCCCGGAAGCUAGCUGCGCCAAGGACAGACCGAGACAACCUGCCGAGCAGCAGAGUCUGGGUCCUGGUCCCGUUUUGAGCCAUACUGCUUCCGUUCCUUUUUCCUCCACCUCUCUUGACCUCUCUGGCUCUGUCUCCACAGUGGAGGAAGCAGGGCAAUCAGAGGGGCCUCAGGAGCAAAGGGAAGGAGCAGAGGAGCGAGGGGCACCAUGGAAUGGGCAGGUGCUUGUAGGCCGGGGAAGCCGUGGCCCGGGAGGCUCUUCCUUGGCAGGCAGUGGGUGUGGGUAGGAGGCCCGGAGCCGCUCGACAAAUGUGCCUCACAGGCUUCUGGCUCCUGUCCCUCACAUGUGCCACGUUAGCAUCCUGCCCACCAGGAGGAGGGCACAGCAAGAUGCCAUGUGAGGAAGAAAUAAACCCAAUCCAGCAUCUCAGACGCUGUUAAAAAUAGCAACUCUGGGAGGGUAAUUCAGCUCCUAUUUUUAUCAGAUUUAUAUGGCCGGACCAUAGCGCUGAGCUGUUCCCAGGGUUCUCAAUAGCAGGCAGGGGACAUCACUGUUGUAGUCUUAGAAACCUGCCGGUAGGCCAAGGCAUUCCAGGAACCUUUAGGCUGGAAGAGAUCCCAAGAAGUCAUUGCGUGCAGCCCUUGCCUCUGCUUGGGGCCACAAUCAAUGAACCACAGAUCAUUUAUGGCUGGCUUUUUUGCCUAAAAGUCGCUUGGUGUCUGUGCCUCGACUGCAUAAUCUAGGAUUUCACAGCCCUUCUAAUCAGGAAGUUCUUUUUAAUAUCUAGCCCAAAUAUCUCUGGUUACGUCCUUUUCGGUUCUUCUCACAGCAGAAAAAUAGCUAAUGUUUACCCAGUGACGACUACGUCCGCAAAAUGCUCUUCUUUAAUCCCCACAAAACCCCUCACGGUGGGCACUCUUAGCAUUCCUAAUUCGGGAGCAGUCCUGUAACUUGCCCACGAUCAUACCUGGGGAAUGGUGCGGAUUCUAUGCCGAAGCCAUCAGACCGAACUGCCUCCCAGAGAGCUGCCCCCUGAGCUUGGACUUUCAUUUCUUUUCUUUUUUUUUUUUUUUUUAAAGAUUUUAUUUAUUUAUUUGACAGAGAGAGAGACAGCUAGCGAGAGAGGACACAAGUAGGGGGAGUGGGAGAGGAAGAAGCAGGCUCAUAGCAGAGGAGCCUGAUGUGGGGCUCGAACCCAUAACGCCGGGAUCACGCCCUGAGCCGAAGGCAGACGCUUAACCGCUGUGCCACCCAGGCGCCCCUGGACUUUCAUUUCUUCAUCAUGGUCCUGAAAGACAGACCGGCCAGUGUUCUCAUUGCGCACGUAUGCGUCACGCUAGAAGCCUGGCUCCACAUCCCAGCGUGCUGACCCGUGGUCCCUCUGACUGCCAGGCCCCUGCUUGUGCAGGCCAUUUGGCUAUCAGAUGUAACCUAGACAUUUGCCUUCUCUUUGCAUAAGGUCUCAUAGCGCCCACGGCUUUUUUUGAAGGCAUCCACCACUCUUGUAAUUACUUUGUAAUUAACGCCUGUAUUCCUCACUAAAUCAUAAGCUCUGUGUGAGCUCUAUCUCCAGAUUCUUACUUAAAAAAGAAAAAAGUCCAGUAGAUGUGCAGAACGUGUGUAUUGAAUUGAAGCACUUUAAACCGAUUCAGUCCCUGCUUAUUUUGUAAGUGGUUAAAACAUGGUAACUUCAAGUUUGUGUAGAUUUCAGAAUCCAAUAUCAUUUCACUAAUAAUAGCACUAGAACAAACACAGGGUUGCCAACAUUUAUUUUGCUGAGUGAGGAUAUUUUAAAAACAACUACCGUCGGGGCGCCUGGGUGGCACAGUGGUUAAGCGUCUGCCUUCAGCUCAGGGCGUGAUCCCGGCGUUAUGGGAUCGAGCCCCACAUCAGGCUCUUCCGCUAUGAGCCUGCUUCUUCCUCUCCCACUCCCCCUGCUUGUGUUCCCUCUCUCGCUAGCUGUCUCUAUCUCUGUCGAAUAAAUAAAUAAAAUCUUUAAAAAAAAAAAACAACAAAACAACUACCGUCAAUUACUACCAUCUUCUUUAAAAAAGGACAUUUUAACAUCGUAUAUACAUGGUGUUUCUGUCCUUUCUGAGAAGGCAAAGUUGGCAGUCCUGCAUCAGUCUAUUCAAAAAGAAAAGAGAUAUACUGUUCUGGAUAUGGAAGUAUUACAAGAGAACCAAUUUCAAUUUCAAAUAUUACUUUGUAUGUAAAUGUUUCUCUGUUUCUUAGCACGGGGAUCCGUAUUCAACAGAGACUUGGAGAGUGGAGCUUACAAGUCCCACUGGUUCCCAAAUGUGAUUUUCCUCCGUUUCGCGAAGGAAUGUUGACAAAUCCAGGACACUCAGCAGUUUUGUUCUAUGAGGAAACUUUUGGGCAAAAUGAAAGGAGCCAAGGAACAAUAGCAGUCAUGCUUCCUUCCUCUGCCGAGGAGACAGUAGGCCAAGUACUGGGGGCUGACAGCCAGUUGUGGACACGUCCAGGAUUCUUCUGGGAAGGGUGACAUCUCUCACUGCUCCAGCAGAGCAGGGACACAGGCACGCAAACACAGAAGUGUUCUUUGCAGCACACAGGACAGAGGUAUCAUGCUGCCAGAGAGGGGCUGGCGUUUGCUAGCUGGGGAAGGUGUGGUCGAGAGAUACUGGAUCUUGCUUAGGAAGCUUUCUCAGGGGAGGCAGGAUGUGGGGUUCUGCAAAGUGACAUCAAGAGGAAAGCUAGGGCACGGGUGCCUGGGUGGUGCAGUCAGUUGAGCGUCUGACUCUUGGUUUCCACUCAGGUCAUGAUCUCAGGGUGGUGAGAUCGAGCCCCGCGCUAGGCUCUGAACUCAGUGUGGAGUCUGUCUGGGAGUCGCUCCCCCCACUCCCUCUGCCCCUCCGCUCAUGCUCUCUCUCUUUCUCAUCUCUCUAAAAUAAGUAAAUACAAAUCUUUAAAAAAAUAAACAAAUAUGUUCAUAGCUGCAUUGUCCACAAUAGCCAAAUCAUGGAAGGAGCCGAGAUGCCCUUCAACAGAUGACUGGAUUAAGAAGCUGUGGUCCAUAUAUACAAUGGAAUAUUACUCAGCUAUCAGAAAGAACGAAUUCUCAACAUUUGCUGCAACAUGGACGGCACUGGAGGAGAUAAUGCUAAGUGAAAUAAGUCAAGCAGAGAAAGACAAUUAUCAUAUGAUUUCUCUCAUCUAUGGAACAUAAGAACUAGGAUGAUCGGUAGGGGAAGAAAGGGAUAAAGAAAAGGGGGGUAAUCAGAAGG